AUUGAACGCUGGCGGCAUGCUUUACACAUGCAAGUCGAACGGUAACAGGCCGCAAGGUGCUGACGAGUGGCGCACGGGUGAGUAAUGCAUCGGAACGUGCCCAGUCGUGGGGGAUAACUACUCGAAAGAGUAGCUAAUACCGCAUACGAUCUAUGGAUGAAAGCGGGGGACCGUAAGGCCUCGCGCGAUUGGAGCGGCCGAUGUCGGAUUAGGUAGUUGGUGGGGUAAAGGCUCACCAAGCCAACGAUCUGUAGCUGGUCUGAGAGGACAACCAGCCACACUGGGACUGAGACACGGCCCAGACUCCUACGGGAGGCAGCAGUGGGGAAUUUUGGACAAUGGGCGCAAGCCUGAUCCAGCAAUGCCGCGUGCAGGAAGAAGGCCUUCGGGUUGUAAACUGCUUUUGUACGGAACGAAACGGCUCUGGUUAAUACCCGGGGCUAAUGACGGUACCGUAAGAAUAAGCACCGGCUAACUACGUG
rnacentral:rRNA from 1 species